rnacentral:rRNA from 1 species
UACGUAGGGUGCGAGCGUUAAUCGGAAUUACUGGGCGUAAAGGGUGCGCAGGCGGUUAUAUAAGUCAGAUGUGAAAUCCCCGGGCUCAACCUGGGAACUGCGUUUGUGACUGUAUGACUAGAGUACGGUAGAGAGGGGUGGAAUUCCUGGUGUAGCAGUGAAAUGCGUAGAUAUCAGGAGGAACAUCGAUGGCGAAGGCAGCCCCUCGGACCUGUACUGACGCUCAUGCACGAAAGCGUGGGGAGCAAACAGG